rnacentral:rRNA from 1 species
GACGAACGCUGGCGGCGUGCUUAACACAUGCAAGUCGAACGAUGAAGCCCAGCUUGCUGGGUGGAUUAGUGGCGAACGGGUGAGUAACACGUGGGUGAUCUGCCCUGCACUUCGGGAUAAGCCUGGGAAACUGGGUCUAAUACCGGAUAGGACCUUCUGCCGCAUGGUGGGGGGUGGAAAGGUUUUCCGGUGCAGGAGGGGCCCGCGGCCUAUCAGCUUGUUGGUGGGGUAACGGCCCAAGAAGGCGACGACGGGUAGCCGGCCUGAGAGGGCGACCGGCCACACUGGGACUGAGACACGGCCCAGACUCCUACGGGAGGCAGCAGUGGGGAAUAUUGCACAACGGGCGCAAGCCUGAUGCAGCGACGCCGCGUGAGGGAUGACGGCCUUCGGGUUGUAAACCUCUUUCAGUACCGACGAAGCGCAAGUGACGGUAGGUACAGAAGAAGCACCGGCCAACUACGUGCCAGCAGCCGCCGUAACAC